rnacentral:rRNA from 1 species
AACGAACGCUGGCGGCAGGCCUAACACAUGCAAGUCGAGCGAGGACUUCGGUUCUAGCGGCGGACGGGGGAGUAACGCGUGGGAAUGUGCCCUUCUCUACGGAAUAGCCCUGGGAAACUGGGAGUAAUACCGUAUACGCCCUAUUGGGGAAAGAUUUAUCGGAGAAGGAUCAGCCCGCGUUGGAUUAGGUAGUUGGUGGGGUAAUGGCCUACCAAGCCGACGAUCCAUAGCUGGUUUGAGAGGAUGAUCAGCCACACUGGGACUGAGACACGGCCCAGACUCCUACGGGAAGGAGGAGUGGGGGAUCUUAGACAAUGGGGGCAAGCCUGAUCUAGCCAUGCCGCGUGAGUGAUGAAGGCCUUAGGGUUGUAAAGCUCUUUCAGCUGGGAAGAUAAUGACGGUACCAGCAGAAGAAGCCCCGGCUAACUCCGUG